GAGUUCCUUCCCCUAAGGAUCAGACUUCCAGACUCAAAUCUCUAAUAGGGUCAUGUCGAGAGGCAACCCGACUGCAUACUACCUACUGCACGUUAACGUGAUGAAGGUCUCUCCUGAGCACACGGCUUCAUAAACCAGCUGCACAAGCAACUGCAUCUGGGGAUCUGCUUCAAGAGAAACUUAACUAAAGCAAGAAUGGGCUCUAACUUCAGGAUACCUAGGAUUCUAACCUCGUUCCAUUACUUACCAACGAUAUGACCUGGGAAAAAUUAUAUACCUGCGGCACAUCACUGGGGCAAUUUACUGUAGGCAUGCGGCUUUAACAACAACAAAAUGUAAAA
rnacentral:lncRNA from 1 species